rnacentral:hammerhead_ribozyme from 1 species
AUUCAGCCAACGAGUCCCAAAUAGGACGAAACUCGUCUCUUGGAU